rnacentral:rRNA from 1 species
GAUGAACGCUGGCGGCGUGCUUAACACAUGCAAGUCGAACGAAGCACUUUAUUUGAUUUCCUUCGGGACUGAUUAUUUUGUGACUGAGUGGCGGACGGGUGAGUAACGCGUGGGUAACCUGCCUUGUACAGGGGGAUAACAGUUGGAAACGGCUGCUAAUACCGCAUAAGCGCACAGCAUCGCAUGAUGCAGUGUGAAAAACUCCGGUGGUAUAAGAUGGACCCGCGUUGGAUUAGCUAGUUGGUGAGGUAACGGCCCACCAAGGCGACGAUCCAUAGCCGACCUGAGAGGGUGACCGGCCACAUUGGGACUGAGACACGGCCCAAACUCCUACGGGAGGCAGCAGUGGGGAAUAUUGCACAAUGGGCGAAAGCCUGAUGCAGCGACGCCGCGUGAGCGAAGAAGUAUUUCGGUAUGUAAAGCUCUAUCAGCAGGGAAGAUAAUGACGGUACCGGACUAAGAAGCACCGGCUAAAUACGU